CGCGUAUAUAUUAGAGCGUAUAAGCGACCUGCAGUGUCACUGAGAAGUCGCUCAAUGAGGCGCUCUCCUCCUUCCCUCCAAUUCCUCGCCGCUGCAGCAUCCACCGACGCCACCAUGUAUUCUCGCGUUCCUUACAGAGGUGGUCGAAAUCAAAGGCGGAGAGGAUUCUCCGACCGACCUUUCGGAGAUGGCAGAGACCAGUUCGUUACCGGAGAUUCUCACUUCCAGUCGGUAAGAGACGCCAACCAAGGUUUCCGGCCAGUAGAGAGAGAAAACUUCGCAAAUCACAGGUCGCAUCAGCCUUCAUUCAAUCCUCCGCCUCGUUUCAAUCCUCCUCCGCAAUUUAAUUAUCGGCCUCCUUUGCAUCAUCCACCGCCUUUCAAUCCGAAUCAACAUUUUCGUCCGCCGUUGGGUCCACCACUGCCUUUCAAUCAGAAUCAACAUUUCCGUCCGCCGUUGGCUCCACCAUCACCUUUCGGUCAGAAUCAACCGUUCCGUCCUCCGCAACAGUUUCGUCCAAGGCCUUCGAAGCCGUUGGAUUACCGGAAUUGGGAGUUUGCAAGAGCAGGGCCGCCCCCUCAGUGUGAGCGGUUUACAGUCCUCUCUUACAAUAUACUGGCUGACUAUCUGGCUAUUAAUCAUCGGCGCAAACUUUACUUUCACAUACCUCACCAUAUUUUGGACUGGGAGUGGCGAAAGAGAAGUAUUAUCUUUGAGCUUGGGUUAUGGUCAGCUGAUAUAUUGUGCUUUCAGGAGGUUGAUAGAUUUCAGGAGUUAGAGGAUGAGUUGAAACAUCGGGGAUACAACGGCAUUUGGAAGAUGCGAACUGGUGAUCCAGUUGAUGGUUGUGCAAUAUUUUGGCGUGUGUCAAGAUUCAAGAUGGUGUACGAGGAAUGCAUUGAAUUUAAGAAGCUUGGACUACGGGAUAAUGUUGCCCAGAUUUGCGUUUUGGAGUCUGUGAAUCAGAAUCCCAGCAUAUAUACGUCAGCUCUCCCAACAAGCUCAACGGGUUCUAAUAAAGUUGUCUUAUGUAACAUUCACGUGCUUUACAACCCUAGAAGGGGAGAGAUUAAGCUUGGCCAGAUUCGAGUGCUUAUGGAGAGGGCUCAUGCUGUUUCUAAGCUUUGGGAUGAUGCUCCUGUUGUUCUUUGUGGGGAUUUUAACUGUACUCCAAAGAGUCAGUUAUACAACUAUAUAGCAGAGCAGAAGUUAAAUCUUUCUGAGCUACCAAGAGAUAAGGUGUCCGGACAAGCUGCUUUUGAAAUUCGUGCACCGGGGCAGUUUGGUCCUUAUUUCGGGCCCCAAUCCGUUCAUAAUUCAGUUCAAGCUCCAACAAUUGCUGAUGACAGGAAAGUCAGGCAGACUGAUUCCCUCUCAGAUGUGCAGAAGCAGAAUGGUUCAGGUCAAUAUGGAGAUGAGAACAGUGCACUGUCCCAUGAACUGACAAAAGAAACCCAUCAGGAUGCCGUGAACGAUUGCAAGAAAGAAACUGAAUUGACCACCUGUGUUUCAGAUAGUUGCUUAAAGGAAGGCCCAAGUAGUUCUCACAACGAAGGUGGUUUUGCUGUUGAUGAAAUGAAGGAUAGAACUUGUGAAUUGACUAAUAAAGAUUCUUGUCGUGAAGAUAUUUAUUCUAAUGUGAUUGAGACUGGACAUGAUGAAAAAGUACAUGCAAACUAUACAAAAUCCGAUUCAUUCAGUGAACACUCUCAUUCAAAUUUAUAUACAGAAAAUGGAAGUGUUACGUGCGAUAAUGUUAACCUCUCCUUUGUGGGUGAAAAUCAUUCUACGACUUCCAUAAUUAAUCCUGAGCCUGCAAAUGCUUCUGAUUUAGCAACUGCUUCAUCUGAGCUAUUCCAAGAGACUUCAUUUCCCAAUGCUGUAGAAGUCUCUCCUCUUGGAAGCUCAGAAAAUUUGUCAUCUCUUUCAGUUGCCAAUUACAAGGGUAGCCCUUCUGGCUUAUGCGAAGGCUAUGAAUCUACAAGCAAUGACUUUGUGGCGAAUGAAAAGAAGAAGAAUUUAACCCAUGAUGAGCUAGAUGAAGUUAAGCAGGAAGAUGAGAGCAUAGGUGAAGAUUGUACCACAUUCUUAUCUGCGCUACACAACGCUGAUGGCAGUCCCUUUCCGUCUGACUUAAAUCAAUUUGUAGGAUCUGACUUUGUGGAAUCAAAUGAGUCAUCGGGGGGAAAUGUUGCUAUACCCCAAAGCCAACAUUUGCAUCCUCUUGGUGAUGAGGAUUCUCCUAGCAUGGAUAAUGUGUCUGUUGAUGCAUUUAGAACUGCUUAUGAUCCAUCAGCAUGGACUCCAAUGGAGAUAGAAACUGCAACAGGUAAUGCAGACUGUACACUUAUGGAACAUCCUCUGAAGCUGAGAAGCACGUAUGCAGAAGUUGAGGACUGUUCAGGGACUAGAGAUCCAAUUGGAGAACCCCUGGUGACCAGUUACAAUAGGUGUUUCCAAGGCACAGUUGAUUACAUAUGGCGCUCCGAAGGACUUCAAACUGUCAGGGUUCUUGCUCCUAUUCCUAAACAUGCAAUGCAGUGGACUACAGGAUUCCCCACAAAGAAAUGGGGGAGCGAUCAUAUUGCGUUGGUUUCUGAGUUGGCAUUUACAAAAGACAUGGUUAAUCAAAAUACAGAAGCUCAGUAGUAGCUGACAAGUCUUGCAACACUAGGCUUGCAUCAAAACCGAACUUAUACCAUCAAGUUUUAGAUUGUUUAUGUGGGGAUGCCCUAGAGAAACCGGUAUAAGGCCUUUGUUGCUAGCCAGGAAGUCAGUAUUGCUAGUGUUUGGCUUGGUAUAAGGCUGGCAAUUUGUGGGAUCUAGAGAAAGAAUAGCAAAGGACAUAGCAACAGAGAACAAUGGUCUUUAAUCCAAAAAAAAAAAAUGGUCUUUAAUCCAAAAAAAAACAGCAGAUAACAAUGGUGUUGAGGGCAUGACUGGGCCCACAACUGCUGCAACAGCUCUUUUUUUUUUUUUUUUUUUCUUUUGGUUUUUUUCUUUACUAUUUCCUUUUAUAUGUAAUUUAUUUUUAUUGUAAAAUAAAUAUUUAUGAAUAAAUAGGUGUAUUAAAAAUUCUUUCGGUUGA